UGGUCUCCUCAGCUAUGUCCCUGUU
rnacentral:piRNA from 1 species